rnacentral:rRNA from 1 species
AACGCGAAGAACCUUACCAGGCCUUGACAUGCAGGUAGUAGAGAACCGAAAGGGGAUCGACCCAAGGGAAACCGAGGGAGCCUGCACAGGUGGUGCAUGGUUGUCGUCAGCUCGUGUCGUGAGAUGUUGGGUUAAGUCCCGCAACGAGCGCAACCCCUAUACUUAGUUGCCAGCACGAAAGGUGGGCACUCUAAGUAGACUGCCGCAGACAAUGCGGAGGAAGGUGGGGAUGACGUCAAAUCAUCAUGCCCUUUAUGGCCUGGGCCACACACGUGCUACAAUGGCCUGAACAGCGGGAAGCGAAGGAGCGAUCCUGAGCAAACCCCUGAAAACAGGUCCCAGUUCAGAUUGCAGGCUGCAACUCGCCUGCAUGAAGGCGGAAUCGCUAGUAAUCG